rnacentral:tRNA from 1 species
GGGCCUAUGGUGAAAUGGCAUCACGCGACUAUGGCAUAGUCGAGUCAGGGGUUCGAUUCCCCUUAGGUCCACCA